GAUGAACGCUGGCGGCGUGCCUAAUACAUGCAAGUCGAGCGAAUGGAUUAAGAGCUUGCUCUUAUGAAGUUAGCGGCGGACGGGUGAGUAACACGUGGGUAACCUGCCCAUAAGACUGGGAUAACUCCGGGAAACCGGGGCUAAUACCGGAUAACAUUUUGAACCGCAUGGUUCGAAAUUGAAAGGCGGCUUCGGCUGUCACUUAUGGAUGGACCCGCGUCGCAUUAGCUAGUUGGUGAGGUAACGGCUCACCAAGGCAACGAUGCGUAGCCGACCUGAGAGGGGGAGCGGCCACACUGGGACGUAGACACGGCCCAGACUGCGACGGGAGGCAGCAGUAGGGAAUCUUCCGCAAUGGACGAAAGUCUGACGGAGCAACGCCGCGUGAGUGAUGAAGGCUUUCGGGUCGUAAAACUCUGUUGUUAGGGAAGAACAAGUGCUAGUUGAAUAAGCUGGCACCUUGACGGUACCUAACCAGAAAGCCACGGCUAACUACGUGCCAGCCGCCGCAGUAA
rnacentral:rRNA from 1 species